rnacentral:tRNA from 1 species
GGGGUUGUGGCUCAGUGGUAGAGCGCUCACCUAGCACGUGAGAGGGGCUGGGUUCAAUCCUCAAUACCACA